GAUGCUUAACCGACUGAGCCACCCAAGUGUCCCUGCAAAAAAAAAAAAAAAAAAAAAAAAUUAAAUUAACUUCCCCUUAGUAAAACUGGAAGGUACGUAGAACCCAUCUACAAUUUAACCAGUCUCUGGGGAAAGUGUCAGCCGCCUGUUGGGGGAUGUGGAGGUGCUGGGGUUGGCUCAGAUGUCUCAGGUCUGCUGCUCCAGGAUCCACUCAGCUCUGCAGGCAUAGGUACAUUGCUACUCUGAGCAAUCUUGUGGGUGCCCAUGCCCUUGUGUACGUUCCGAAGGGCUUUUCUGGCUUGGAAUUGGUGGUCAUAAGAAAGCAUUUCUUCAACUUCACGCGCUCCUGCUGUCUGUGUUGUCGUAGUAGGUUUAUGCUUCCGCUCACCCAGCCUACAGCUCCUUUUUGCUGCCACUGCAUUGCCAGCACUUGUGGAUGUAUGUCUUCAUUUCUCUGAGUAAAUACCUAGGAGAGGAAUUACUGGGUUAUAAGGUAGGUGUUUGUUUAGUUUUAUGCAAGAACUGCCAAAUUAUUUUCCAGAGUGGUUGUACAAUAUAUAUUACGCUCCCACCAACAGCGUGUAGGAAUAUAGUUGUUCUACAUCUGUACCAACAUUUAGUGUUGUCAGUCUUCUCAAUUUUAGCCAUUCUGGUGGGUGUUAGUGGCUUCUCAUUGUGGUUUAAAAUUACAUUUCC